rnacentral:rRNA from 1 species
AGCGAACGCUGGCGGCAGGCCUAGCACAUGCAAGUCGAACGGAUCCUUCGGGAUUAGUGGCGGACGGGUGAGUAACACGUGGGAACGUGCCCUUUGGUUCGGAACAACUCAGGGAAACUUGAGCUAAUACCGGAUGUGCCCUUCGGGGGAAAGAUUUAUCGCCAUUGGAGCGGCCCGCGUCUGAUUAGCUAGUUGGUGAGGUAAAGGCUCACCAAGGCGACGAUCAGUAGCUGGUCUGAGAGGAUGAUCAGCCACAUUGGGGCUGAGACACGGCCCAAACUCCUACGGGAGGCAGCAGUGGGGAAUCUUGCGCAAUGGGCGAAAGCCUGACGCAGCCAUGCCGCGUGAAUGAUGAAGGUCUUAGGAUUGUAAAAUUCUUUCACCGGGGACGAUAAUGACGGUACCCGGAGAAGAAGCCCCGGCUAACUUCGUGCCAGCCGCCGCAGUAAUAC